UGGGGAAUAUUGGACAAUGGGCGCAAGCCUGAUCCAGCAAUGCCGCGUGAGUGAUGAAGGCCUUCGGGUCGUAAAGCUCUUUUACCAGGGAUGAUAAUGACAGUACCUGGAGAAUAAGCUCCGGCUAACUCCGUGCCAGCAGCCGCGGUAAUACGGAGGGAGCUAGCGUUGUUCGGAAUUACUGGGCGUAAAGAGUACGUAGGCGGCUAUUCAAGUCAGAGGUGAAAGCCCGGGGCUCAACCCCGGAACUGCCUUUGAAACUAGAUAGCUAGAAUCUUGGAGAGGUCAGCGGAAUUCCGAGUGUAGAGGUGAAAUUCGUAGAUAUUCGGAAGAACACCAGUGGCGAAGGCGACUGACUGGACAAGUAUUGACGCUGAGGUACGAAAGCGUAGGGAGCAAACAG
rnacentral:rRNA from 1 species